rnacentral:lncRNA from 1 species
GUGGCUAUUGAUUAUCACACCUGAAGCACCUUUUUCCUGGGCUUCCCCUGCCAGAACUCCAGCUGUCCACCAGCACCCACGCACUGAACGGUGCCACGCUCCGCACAUGGCUGCGGCUCAAUGGGGGGAAAGGCGCAUGAGAGCGUGUCAGGCAUUUUCCGAACCUGGCUAAUGCAACCCCUUAUGUUUUCUUUGGGAGCUCUGCUAAACCCGCUCGUCACAGAUGUGCGAAGUGUGAUAGCGUCCAUCCCCCUGCACCUCAUUAACGUUUCCUCCUGUGCAAGUGUGAAAAUGACUGGAGAGAAAAGAGGAAACUUAAGGUGCCAGGCUGGAGAAGACAUGGGCUCCCUCUUCUGCAGCUGA